GACGUAGGGGGCGAGCGUUGUCCGGAUUCAUUGGGCGUAAAGCGCGCGUAGGCGGCCUGGUAAGUCGGAUGUGAAAUCCCACGGCUCAACCGUGGAACUGCAUUCGAUACUGUCGGGCUAGAGGCAGGUAGGGGAGAUCGGAAUUCCUGGUGUAGCGGUGAAAUGCGCAGAUAUCAGGAGGAACACCGGUGGCGAAGGCGGAUCUCUGGGCCUGUACUGACGCUCAGGCGCGAAAGCUAGGGGAGCAAACAGG
rnacentral:rRNA from 1 species